rnacentral:rRNA from 1 species
GCCAGCAGCCAUAUCACCCUGCAACUCACAACUGGCACCCCACUGAAGCUUAACAGGUGUGAUCCUGGUCAGUACCUGGAUGGGAGACCUCCUGGGAAAAACUAAGGUUGCUGCUGGAA